CGAGCGGCGGACGGGUGAGUAAUUGUCAGGGAAACUAGCCUGAUGGAGGGGGAUAGCUACUAGGAAACGGUAGCUAAUACCGCAUAACGUCGCAAGACCAGAGAGGGGGACCUUCGGGCCUCUUGCCAUCAGAUGUGCCCAGAUGGGAUUAGCUAGUAGGUGGGGUAACGGCUCACCUAGGCGACGAUCCCUAGCUGGUCUGAGAGGAUGACCAGCACACUGGAACUGAGACACGGUCCAGACUCCUACGGGAGGCAGCAGUGGGGAAUAUUGCACAAUGGGCGCAAGCCUGAUGCAGCCAUGCCGCGUGUAUGAAGAAGGCCUUCGGGUUGUAAAGUACUUUCAGCGGGGGAGGANAGGUGUGUCGGUAAUAACCAACAGGAAUUGACGUUAACCCGAAGAAGAAGCACACGGAUAAAAUUCCCGUGCACAGCAGACCGGGGGAAAUACGGCAGGGUGCAAGCGUUAAAUCCGGAAAUCACUGGGCGUAAAAGAGCACAGCAAGNGAGGGCCUAGGACAAAAGCCGGGACAUCAGUGGACAAUACCCCCAGGGGAGAUCCCAAACCUCGGGGAAACUUAGAGGAUUCCACGAAAAUCCA
rnacentral:rRNA from 1 species